ACAGGGUGGAUUCCAAACGAGACGACACACCAUGUCGCAUAUGAGCAGUACCCAGGAUUCCUCACUUUCAAAUGUGCUCUCCAGAAGAUUCUGACACCCAGCCUGGUUGGGGAAUCACUGAGGGGGUGUCAUCUCUGUUCUUCCUCCCCAGGAACUUUCGGAUCACUGUUCAAGGACUGAGGCCAAUCCGCUCCAUAAGGGAUUGUAACCAAGUGGCCCAGUCUUGAAACACAUUUUACAUUUUCCUUCCCCUUCCUUCUUCAUCUCAGAACGUAGCCUGGAAAUGCACUUUAAGACUUCACUUCCCUCCUUCCCACCAGGCACUCGGAUGUGCUAUUCUCCCUCCUCCAAGUAUGCACGUACUUAGAAAUUCUAGGGGCUUGUUUUGAAACAAACCAGUCCCGAGACCCAGCUGCUGCUUAAACGGAGUUAUGGACAAUUAGUCCACCACCACCAUCGGGCCAGCAUCAAGAUAAUGGCAACCAAACCUCAGGACAGGCAAUUUCUCAAGAUAGCCAUUGGAACAGGGCACGUGGACCUACACCCCGCCCCCUCCCCCCCAUACCACUCCUGCAUAUCUCCCAUACAGUUUUCCUUCCUAAACCCCCUCAUUCAGCCCUGAAAGAUGAAUGGUCUUUUGAGGACAUGAGCCUGACCAUGCACCAGCUGCUAGCACUGGAAUAAAGCCGCUUUCCUUCCACCACUCCUCGCUUCUGUUCUGGCCCCUGGGCAGGGAGCAGCAGGACCUGAGUCGGUUUCAGGAUGAGCACGAUUCCUGUGAUGAAGGCAUCAGGCGGCAGGGCUCACAGUGCAGACCCACAAAUGGAACCCCGUCCACAGAGGGCUCAGGCCAGCACAGCGUCUUAAAAUCAUCUGAAUCUCACCAUUUUGAAGUGGAAACCACAUGCUCUAUUCCCCACAGGCUGCACAUUGGGCCGUUUUAUUCAUCAGGAACUUGGGGCAUGGUGGAUGGAACCUAUGAGCUUUUUGGUAUCUGAACAGGAACUGAUAAAGAUGGUAAAUGGAUACUAUGGAGAAUUGAACAGAAGGGAGAGGAACAAACAGCAACGUGCCCAGAUCUUAGGAAACCCAGGCUUACUGAAUGAAGCAGGUAAAAAAGGAAGCCAGG
rnacentral:lncRNA from 1 species